CCUGAUCCAGCCAUACCGCGUGGGUGAAGAGGCUUCGGGUUGUAAAGCCCUUUUGUUGGGAAAGAAAAGCAGUCGGCUAAUACCCGGUUGUUCUGACGGUACCCAAAGAAUAAGCACCGGCUAACUUCGUGCCAGCAGCCGCGGUAAUACGAAGGGUGCAAGCGUUACUCGGAAUUACUGGGCGUAAAGCGUGCGUAGGUGGUUGUUUAAGUCUGUUGUGAAAGCCCUGGGCUCAACCUGGGAAUUGCAUUGGAUACUGGGCGACUAGAGUGUGGUAGAGGGUAGUGGAAUUCCCGGUGUAGCAGUGAAAUGCGUAGAGAUCGGGAGGAACAUCCAUGGCGAAGGCAGCUACCUGGACCAACACUGACACUGAGGCACGAAAGCGUGGGGAGCAAACAGGAUUAGAUACCCUGGUAGUCCACGCCCUAAACGAUGCGAACUGGAUGUUGGGUGCAAUUUGGCACGCAGUAUCGAAGCUAACGCGUUAAGUUCGCCGCCUGGGGAGUACGGUCGCAAGACUGAAACUC
rnacentral:rRNA from 1 species